GAACCUGUGCUGCAGUGGUGUCCAAGCCGGACUCCUGCCUCCACCGAGAACCUCCAUGGCCUUGUGGAACCUGGGCUGUCAGAGGCACCAGCCUGCAAACCUCCCGUUUAAAUGCUUCUUUUUUUACUUUUUAUUUUGAUUUUCGUUUUGAGAUGGAGUCUCGCUUUUGUUGCCCAGGCUGGAGUGCAAUAGUGCGAUCUCGGCUCACCACAACCUCCACCUCCCAAGUUCAAGUGAUUCUCCAGCCUCAGCCUCCCAAGUAGCUGGGAUUACAGGCAUAUGCCACCACACACGACUAAUUUUGUAUUUUUAGUAGAGAUAGGGUUUCUCCAUGUUGGUCAGGCUGGUCUGACCCUGAGAAUACUGAGGAAUAGGGGUACAGUCGAGCAGGUGGGAUGUUCAGGGUUAAUUCGUUUUGUGUAUCAUUCUGAUUCCAAAAAGGAAAAUGCAUCUUCUACAAAACAAAAGCAAA
rnacentral:lncRNA from 1 species